rnacentral:rRNA from 1 species
UUUGGUUUUNAANUGGCUCAGGAUGAACGCUGSCGGCGUGCCUAAUACAUGCAAGUCGAACGAACUUUCCGUUAAUUGAUUAUGACGUGCUUGCACUGAAUGAGAUUUUAACACGAAGUGAGUGGCGGACGGGUGAGUAACACGUGGGUAACCUGCCCAGAAGCAGGGGAUAACACCUGGAAACAGAUGCUAAUACCGUAUAACAGAGAAAACCGCCUGGUUUUCUUUUAAAAGAUGGCUCUGCUAUCACUUCUGGAUGGACCCGCGGCGCAUUAGCUAGUUGGUGAGGUAACGGCUCACCAAGGCGAUGAUGCGUAGCCGACCUGAGAGGGUAAUCGGCCACAUUGGGACUGAGACACGGCCCAGACUCCUACGGGAGGCAGCAGUAGGGAAUCUUCCACAAUGGACGCAAGUCUGAUGGAGCAACGCCGCGUGAGUGAAGAAGGGUUUCGGCUCGUAAAGCUCUGUUGUUAAAGAAGAACGUGGGUGAGAGUAACUGUUCMCCCAGUGACGGUAUUUAACCAGAAAGCCACGGCUAACUACGUGCCA